UACGUAUGGAGCAAGCGUUAUCCGGAUUUAUUGGGUUUAAAGGGUGCGUAGGCGGUUUUAUAAGUUAGAGGUGAAAAUUCGGGGCUCAACUCCGGACGUGCCUCUAAUACUGUAUGACUAGAGAAUAGAUGCGGUAGGCGGAAUGUAUGGUGUAGCGGUGAAAUGCUUAGAGAUCAUACAGAACACCGAUUGCGAAGGCAGCUUACCAAGCUACUUCUGACGUUGAGGCACGAAAGCGUGGGGAGCAAACAGG
rnacentral:rRNA from 1 species